AAUUAGAGUUUGAUCUUGGCUCAGGAUGAACGCUGGCGACGUGGAUAAGGCAUGCAAGUCGAGUGGGUUAGACCCACGGCAGACGAGGUAGUAAGACAUAGGAACUUCCCCUCUUGUCGGGCAUAACUAGCCGAAAGGUUAGAUAAUUCCCGAUAGUCCCUGAGAGUAAUCGAAAGGUAAAGAUCCGCCAAUUGGCGGAAUCGCAAGAGGAAAGGCCUGUGGAGUAUCAGCUAGUUGGUAGUGUAAUGGACUACCAAGGCUAUGACGCUUAGGGGAGGUGAGAGCCUGACCCCCACCGAUGGUACUGAGAUACGGACCAUACACCUACGGGUGGCCGCAGUCGAGAAUCUUCCACAAUGGACGCAAGUCUGAUGGAGCGACGUCGCGUGAUGGAUGAAGUCUUUCGGGAUGUAAACAUCUUUUAUCGGGGAUGAAUCUAGUUUAUCUAGAAUGACGGUACCCGAUGAAUAAGGGGUUGCUAAACUCGUGCCAGCAGCAGCGGUAAUACGAGUGCCCCAAGCGUUAUCCGGAAUUAUUGGGCGUAAAGGGUGUGUAGGCGGUUGUGAGUAGUCUUUCGUUAAAACCCCCGGCCUAACCGGGGAGGUGCGAGAGAAACGGCGCAACUGAGGGAGUGUGAGAGGUCUGUGGAACUCAUGGUGUAGGGGUGAAAUCCGUUGAUAUCAUGGGGAACACCAAAAGCGAAGGCAACAGACUGGCACAUAUCCGACGCUGAAACACGAAAGCGUGGGUAGCGAACGGGAUUAGAUACCCCGGUAGUCCACGCCCUAAACGAUCUUCACUAGCUUUUCGGAGUAUCGACCCUCUGAGAGGCGAAGCUAACGCGUUAAGUGAAGCGCCUGGGAAGUACGGCCGCAAGGCUAAAACUCAAAAGAAUAGACGGGGACUUGCACAAGCGGUGGAUCAUGUGGUUUAAUUCGACGCUAAACGAAGAACCUCACCAGGGUUUGAAAUCCAGACGAAUGCCCGCCGAAAGGUGGGAGGUCUCACAAGGACGGCUGGACAGGUGAUGCAUGGCUGUCGUCAGUUCGUGGCUUGAGUUGUUCCCUUAAGUGGGGAAACGAACGCAACCUCUGUUGUCUGUUACAAGUGUCAGGCAAGACUGCCUCGCUCUGCGGGGAGGAAGCGGAGAUGACGCCAAGUCAGCAUGUCCCUCUGACAUCCUGGGCUACACACAUGAUACAAUGGCCGUUACAAUAGGUCGCGACGGGGAGACCCUGAGCUAAUCCUAAAAGACGGCCCCAGUUCGGAUUGAGGUCUGCAACUCGACCUCAUGAAGUCGGAAUCGCUAGUAAUCGCAGGUCAGCUAUACUGCGGUGAAUACGUUCUCAAGUCUUGUACUCAC
rnacentral:rRNA from 1 species